UACGGGAGUGGCAAGCGUUAUCCGGAAUCAUUGGGCGUAAAGCGUCCGCAGGUGGCUUUGUAAGUCUGCCGUUAAAGCGUGGAGCUUAACUCCAUUUCAGCGGUGGAAACUACAAGGCUUGAGUGUGGUAGGGGCAGAGGGAAUUCCCGGUGUAGCGGUGAAAUGCGUAGAUAUCGGGAAGAACACCAGUGGCGAAGGCGCUCUGCUGGGCCAUAACUGACACUCAUGGACGAAAGCCAGGGGAGCGAAAGGG
rnacentral:rRNA from 1 species